rnacentral:lncRNA from 1 species
AUGCACAAAUAUCAAUAAAUCAUGACACAUCCAUAUUUCAUUUUCAUUACUAAAGCUCAAACACAAGACACUUAUCAAACCUUACCAAUUUCGGCUCAAUAGCCACAUACAAAGAGCAUGAUUUUGAUUGGCUUUAUAACAUGAUCUCUAUACACAUUCGGCUACCCGUCAUAGGUAUAAACCAAUCACCUCAAUAUAUAAUUCAAGUAGAAUCAUAAUAUCACCAUUUAUUUGUUAUGCUUAUAUGUCAUGACUUAAUCAAAUCAUAAACUAAGUUUCAUUACUCGAAGACUUACCUCGGAUGUUGUCGAACGAUUUCGACGGCUAUUCGAUCACUUUUUCCUUUCCCUUAUCCAACUUUGAUUCUCUAGGCUCUUGAGCUCUUCCUAAACAUCAACCAACCGAACAUGAAGCAAGAGAAUCCUCUUCUUCUUCCUUCCUCAAGUCACGGCAAUGGGGGAGUAUGGAUGGGACAACUUUGUUUUCAUCACCCCUCCCUUUUCAUUACUUUAUUACUAACCUUUUAUUUUAUUAUUUCUAACAUAAAACAUUAACACAAAAUGUUUAUAAUAUGCUUUAACCCAUAGCAUGGCCGGCCACCAUCUUGAUUUUUUGGUUAAUUUGACAUGCAAACCCAUCAUUUUUAUAACAUGCAUCAAUAGGCCACUUUAACAUUUGCCUAGCACAUUUCUAAAUUUUCUUACACAAGUCCUAUUUAAUAAAAUUCACUUACAAUUAACAAAAUUCAAACAUGAAAUUUUCACACAUGCAUAUAUACAUAUAAUAAGCAUCAAAUAUGAUGGUUAAUUAUUUUUAUGACUCGGUUUUGUGGUCCCGAAACCACUUUCCGACUAGGGUCACAUUAGGGCUGUCACAACUCUCCCCCACUUAAGAAAUUUUCAUCCCCGAAAAUCUUACCGGUAAAUAGGUUUGGGUAUCGUUCUUUCAUAGAGUUCUCAGUUUCCCAAGUAGCUUCUUCGAUCCCGUGUUUGAGCCAUAACACCUUUACUAACGGAACCCUCUUGUUUCGCAACUCUUUCACUUCACGAGCUAGGAUGCGAAUCGGUUCUUCUUCAUAACUCAUAUCGGCUUGAAUUUCAACCUCUGAGGGAUUUAUUAUGUGCGAAGGAUCAGAUCUGUAACGUCGAAGCAUUGAGACAUGAAAAACGUUGUGAAUCUUCUCGAGGUCAGGGGGUAAAAUCAAUCUAUAUGCCACUGGGACAACUCGUUCGGAUAUUUCAUACGGCCCUAUGAACCUCGGACUCAGUUUGCCCUUACGGCCAAAUCUGAGUAUCUUUUUCCAAGGUGAAACUUUAAGAAACACUUUGUCUCCCACCUGAUACUCAAUAUCUCUUCGUUUUAAAUCCGCGUACGACUUCUGACGAUCUGAUGCUGCCUUCAGACUUUCACGAAUUAUUUUUACUUUCUGCUCAGCAUCUUUAAUCAAAUCAACUCCGAAAAUUUUACUUUCACCGAGCUCGGUCCAAAACAAUGGUGUACGGCAUUUACGACCGUACAAAGCCUCGUAAGGCGCCAUCUUAAUACUUGAUUGAAAACUAUUGUUGUAAGCGAAUUCAAUCAAAGGUAAAUACCGCUCCCAUGAACCACUAAACUCAAGGAUGCAACAUCUCAACAUAUCCUCGAGUAUCUGAAUUAUCCGCUCGGAUUGACCAUCGGUCUGGGGAUGAAAAGCGGUGCUAAAAUGCAACUUGGUACCCAAUGCUUCUUGCAAUUUCUUCCAAAAUUGCGAUGUGAAUCUCGGAUCUCUAUCUGACACAAUAAAAAUAGGUACCCCGUGUAAUUUUACAAUCUGAGAAACAUACAAUUUAGCUAGUUUAUCCAAUGAGUAAUCCGUACGUACGGGAAUAAAAUGAGCCGACUUAGUCAGUCUAUCAACAACAACCCAAAUCGCAUCUUUCUUAGUUGCCGACAAUGGCAACCCAGAUACAAAAUCCAUGGUGACUCGAUCCCAUUUCCAUUCAGGUAUCAUGAUCGGCUGAAGUAAACCUGUAGGCACUUGAUGUUCUGCUUUCACUUGUUGACAUAUUAAACACUUCGAAACAAAAUAGGAAAUGUCUCGUUUCAUACCAUGCCACCAAAACUGACAUCUCAGAUCGUUGUACAUUUUCGUACUCCCGGGGUGAAUUGAUAUUCAGUUACAAUGAGCUUCGUUCAGAAUCAUCGAAAUAAGUUCUGAAUUUCUUGGAACACACCAACGACUUCUGAACCUCAAACAAUCGUCAUCAUCAAUUUGAAACUCUGAUUCCCUAUCCGAAACACAUUCAGCCCGUUUUGCAACCAAUUCAUCAUCGACUUUCUGAGCUUCACGAAUUUGAUGAAUCAAUAAUGGUUUGGCCUUUAAGUCUGCUACUAACACAUUUUCGGAUAGAACAGACAAGUGUACAUUCAUCUCUCGUAAAGCAAACAGUGAUUUACGACUUAAGGCAUCCGCAACCACAUUAGCCUUUCCCGGGUGAUAAUCAAUGACAAGUUCAUAAUCUUUCAACAACUCAAGCCAAUGCCUUUGUCGCAGAUUCAAGUCUCUUUGAGUCAUCAAAUAUUUGAGACUUUUGUGAUCCGAAUAUACAUGGCACUUCUCACCAAAUAAGUAAUUUCGCCAUAUUUUCAAAGCGAAUACGAUGGCAGCUAAUUCGAGAUCAUGGGUUGGAUAAUUUUUCUCAUGUGACUUCAAUUGUCUCGAUGCAUAAGCUACAACUCGACCUUCUUGCAUCAAUACACAACCCAGCCCAAGUAAGGAUGCAUCACUGUAGAUGACAAACUCCUUGCCUGAUUCGGGCUGCACUAGUACUGGAGCUUCAGUCAAAUAAGUUUUCAAUUGAUCGAAACUUUUCUGACAUUUUUCUAUCCAUUCAAACUUAACAUCUUUCUGAAGUAGUUUCGUUAUUGGUGUGGCUAUCAUUGAGAAACCCUUUACAAAGCGUUUGUAGUAACCGGCAAGUCCCAAAAAGCUCCGAACCUCAGUAAUGUUUCUCGGAGGCUUCCAGUUAAGUAUGGCUGAAAUUUUGCUCGGAUCAACUCGAAUACCCGAUGCAGAUACCACAUGUCCCAAAAAGCUAACUUCUCUAGACCAGAACUCACAUUUACCGAACUUAGCAUAUAACUACUUAUCCCGUAAAAUCUGCAACACUAAUCUCAGGAGCUUAGCAUGUUCGGUUUCAUUUUCCGAAUAGACCAAAAUAUCAUCGAUAAACACAACUACAAACCGAUCCAAAUACGGUCUGAAGAUUCGAUUCAUCAAAUCCAUAAAUACCGCCGGGGCAUUAGUGAGCCCAAACGGCAUCACUAAAAACUCGUAGUGACCGUAUCUCGUUCUGAAAGCAGUUUUGGGUAUAUCCGAACCUCGAAUUCACAAUUGAUAAUAACCCGAUCUCAAAUCUAUCUUUGAAAACACUGAGGCUCCCUUUAGUUGAUCAAACAAAUCAUCAAUACGCGGUAACGGAUAUUUAUUCUUUAUUGUCACUUUAUUUAGCUGACGAUAGUCGAUGCACAACCUCAUGGUUCCGUCCUUCUUUUUCACAAACAAUACUGGUGCACCCCAAGGCGAGAAACUCGGUCGAGCAAAACCUCUAUCCAUCAACUCUUGCAACUGAGUUUUUAAUUCUUUCAAUUUCGUUGGUGCCAUACGAUACGGAGCUAUCGAAAUCGGUGUAGUCCCAGGUACAAGUUCGAUGCCAAACUCUAUUUCCCGAACAGGUGGUAACCCCGGUAAUUCUUCGGGAAAAACAUCCGGAUAUUCACAAACCACUGGUACCGAUUGAAGUUUCUUUCCUGAUUUUUCAUUAUCAAGCACGUAUGCAAGACACGCCUCACACCCCUUUCUCACAUAUUUUUGAGCUAACAUCGAGGAUAUUAUUGUUGGCAAUCCAUUCAAGACAGUAGACUCAACUCGGAUUAUCUCAUUAUUUGCACACCUCAAAUCAAUAGUCUUGCUUUUGCAAUUCACAACCGCAUCAUGCACGGUCAACCAAUCCAAACCGAGAAUAACAUCAAAUUCAUCAAACGGUAAAAGCAUCAAGUCCGCUGGAAAACAGGAACCUCGAAUUACUAGGGGACAUUUCUUACACACCUUAUCAACAAGCACACAAUGACCCAAGGGAUUCGACACUCUAAUAACGAACUCAGUAGACUCAACAGGUAAAGUCUUACUGGAUGCUAAAGUCUCACAUAUAUAAGAAUGAGUAGAACCAGGGUCAAUCAAUGCAAUCACAUUAGUAUCAAAGAGAGUGAAUGUACCGGUAAUAACAUCAGGCGAAGAAGCAUCCUCGCGUGCACGUAUAGCAUAAGCUCUGGCAGGAGCACGAGCCUCAGAUCUGGUGGUAACAUCUCUAGAUCCUCUCUGACCGCCACUAGCAUUCCCCGCAUUUUUAAAUGGUCUACCUCGAGCAGUAGUAGCACCCGGUUUCCCACUCUGAUUUACAUUAUGUUCAGACAAUCUCGUGCAAUCUUUAAUAAAGUGGUCAACUGAUCCGCACUUGUAACAGGGGCGGUCAUGGAAUCUACAACUCCCCGAAUGCCAUUUACCACAAUACUGGCACUCUGUUCUGCCUCGACGAUCAUUUCCAACACUGGCGACCGAAGUAACUCGUGUCCUCACAGGGGGUCGAUCACGGUCUCGUCUAGAAAAGCCCGACGUGUCUCUAGGUCGGCCUAAAUCAUCUCUAAAUUUCUUCGAUGACUGUUGAAAGGGCUUUUCCGAAGAUCUCUUACGAAACUCCUUUGCUCCCAUAUCAGCUUUUCUUUUCUUCUUACUGAGCUCUUCGGCUUUGCAAGCUCGCUCGACAAGUACCACAAAUUCUCUGAUUUCUAAAAUGCCAAAAUACAGCUUUAUAUCAUCGUUCAGUCCAUCUUCGAAACGUUUACAGAUCACAGCUUCUGAAGAAAUGCAUUCUCGAGCGUACCGGCUAAGCCUUACAAACUUUCGUUCAUAAUUAGUAACCGACAUGGAACCUUGUUUAAGUUUAAGAAAUUCUUUCCAUUUUUGAUCAAUGAAUCUCUGGCUGAUAUAAUUUUUUCGAAACUCGGUUUGGAAAAACUCCCAAGUUACUUGCUCUCUGGGCACAACAGAAAUCAACGUAUUCCACCAAUAGUAGGCAGAAUCACGUAGCAAGGAGAUCGUACACUUUAGGCAUUCAUCGGGUGUGCAAGAUAGUUCAUCAAGUACCCGAAUAGUGUUGUCCAACCAAAAUUCAGCUUGCUCGGCAUCGUCGCUGUCUGUAGCUUUAAAUUCAGUAGCCCCGUGUUUUCGGAUUCUAUCAACUGGGGGCUUAUUUAACCUUAUCUGGUCAGUUACCGGAGGUAUCGCAGGUGCAGGGGUUGUAUUAGUCAGAAAUGGGGGUUGUGGAAUAGCCGUAUUAGUUCGAAUGUAUUGGUUGAACCAAUCAUUCAUUACGCUAUAAAAAGCCUGUCUAGCUUCGUCAUUCUGAUUACUAGCAAUAGGUUGAGAGUCCACCGGCACUGUCCCUUGUGCAGGAGCAGGCGCUACACUCUCAAGAUCAUCAUCUACCGGUCGGUUGGGAUCGGGAUCCAAUACUACAAACAAACACAUUUUUAACUGUCAGAAAUCACCACACUAUCAAAUAGACACACAAUGGCAUGUAUAGCUAGACCCGAACGUAUUACAGUAGUCCUAGAAUCGACUAAACCGUAGCUCUGAUACCAAUAAAAUUGUAACGCCCCGUACUCGAGACCGUUGCCGGAGUCAAACACGAGGUGUUAACAAACUUAAUUCAUUCAUUUACACAGUUCAUUUUAAAAUUUCCAGAUAAGCUGGCUAACUGCGUCACUGUCACCUUAAAAAUCAUAUCUCGAGUUCCAAAACUCGAAAACCGAUUCCGUAAAUUUUUCCUGAAACUAGACUCAUAUUUCCAUCUACAAAGUUUUUUCUAGAAUUUUUGGUCAAGCCAAUUAGUACAGUUUAUUAGUUAAAGUCUCCCCUAUUUCAGGGUUUGACUACUCUGACUUUCAUGCAUUACGACUUAGAUAUCUCCCUCUACAGAGCUUCAAUAAUUAUGACGUUUCUUUCUAAUGAAACUAGACUCAAAACGGAAUCUAUAAAUAUAAAGAAUGACUUCUAAUUGUCUCUGGUUAAUUUAUGGUAAAUUUUCAAAGUCAGAACAGGGGAUCCAGUAAUCGCUCUGACCCUGUUUCACGAAAACUUAAACAUCUCAUAAAAUACGGCUCAUAUGGUCGUUUUGAUUCUUCCAUAUGAAAAUAGACUCAUCAAGGUUCGAUUACAUAAUUUAUUCAUUAUUUAAUUACAUUCCUACUAUUUUUAGUGAAUUUUCAAACUCACAUCACUGCUGCUGUCAGCAUCUAUUUUAAGGUAAAUUUCACCUAUUUCAUAGUUUCCAUGACUCAACUAGCUAUUGGACAUACGUAGCACCAAAUAUGAUCGUGAUUAACCAUUCCAAUGGCUAAUCAUUGCCAAGCAUUUCCACACCUCUCAAUAACCAUAUAUAUACAAAAUGAUUUUAAUACUAUGCUCAAAAUAUUUAAGCCAUUUUCGCAUGGCUAUCCGAAUAUAUACACAUUACCAAAGGUACUUGAUUAACAACAAAGGUUAGUCCUAUACAUGCCAUUAUCAACGUUUAACUAAAAGAGUACCAAAAGGGCUUAGAUAGUGUGGACGACUUCGACUUCGACAAUCCCGAGUCCGAUAGCUGACGAACAAAAAUCUAUAAAACAGAGAAUUAAAGAAACGGAAUAAGCAUUUAAUGCUUAGUAAGUUUUGAGUAACGAAGUUAUUUACGACUAAAGUAUAGUGUUCAUAUGACUAAAUGAAUAAUUUCAUAUAUGCACAUUCUCAAAAUCAUAAUUUCUUCACGCUUCAACCAAUAUAUUCAUACACAGGGUAUCAAACCUAACUAGAGGCCGGAAGCUCGUUAAUCAAUUGAGCGAGUACUAUUUGAAAGGAAUCAACCUUUCCGAUGCAUAUACGAAACAUACCUUAUCGUUUGUAUUUUAUGAGCGUAUUAAUCGAAAUUAUUACAGGAAGAUUGCUCGCUUCCAAGCCCAAGUAUCUUCGGGAUUUAGUCGGAUAUAGCAACUCGCACAAAUGCCUUCGGGUCUUAGCCCGGAUAUAGUCACUAGCAUGAAUACCUUCGGGACUUAGCCUGGAUAUAGUCACUAGCACAAAUGCCUUCGGGACUUAGCCCGGAUAUAGUCACUAGCACAAAUGCCUUCAGGACUUAGCCCGAAUAUCAUUCGAAUAAUCAUGCACAAAUAUCAAUAAAUCAUGACACAUCCAUAUUUCAUUUUCAUUACUAAAGCUCAAACACAAGACACUUAUCAAACCUUACCAAUUUCGGCUCAAUAGCAACAUACAAAGAGCAUGAUUUUGAUUGGAUUUAUAACAUGAUCUCUAUACACAUUCGGCUACCCGUCAUAGGUAUAAACUAAUCACCUCAAUAUAUAAUUCAAGUAGAAUCAUAAUAUCACCGUUUAUUUGUUAUGCUUAUAUGUCAUGACUUAAUCAAAUCAUAAACUAAGUUUCAUUACUCGAAGACUUACCUCGGAUGUUGUCGAACGAUU